AGAGAACGCGUCGCAGUAGAUCUACGGAGCAAGACUUAUUAAUUCUAACAAACAGCUGUUGACGUGAUGGGAUUCUGUUUUUUACUCCCUCUGUUGGUUUUGCUUCUUCUUGGGGUUUUUGGUGAUGACGUGGUGACAGAGAUCGAGGGAGAUACAGUGACACUAAACACUGAUAUAAUCAAAAAAGAACAUGACAAGUUGUUGUGGUAUUUUGAAGACACUCGGAUCGCUCUGAUCAAUGGACAUCCCAACACGAGCUGUUUGUAUGAUGGUGUUGGAGGUAUAUUCAGAGACAGACUGGAGGUGGACUAUGAGACUGGAUCUCUGAUCAUCACAAACAUCACAACUGAACACACUGGACGUUAUGAAGCAGAGAUCAUCAGAAGUGAGAGUUCAGGGAAAAGACAAAGUUUAAACAGAAACCGCAAGUGUGAUAGCAAAAGAAUCACCAAAAAAAAACAGCAUCAGUCAUGAUGAUAACAUAAAAACUUUCAAGGUGAUCGUCACUGCUGCUCUGUCUGAUCAAGUCACAACUGAAGAAGAGCCACAUAUGGAGAAGAGGGAGUUUGACUUGGGUUCAGGUCUGUCUUCAGCUGCUGUAGCAGGAAUUGUUGUUGUUUUUGUUAUUGCUGUUCUGCUGCUGACUGUUGUAGCUGCUGCUGCUGUGAUUAACUAUCACCGCAGGAGCUCAAGAAAUAGUGAGUAUUACAUGAAGAAACUAUAGUGAGAGAGAAACAUCAUGUGCUUUAUGAAAAAUUAUUAUUUGGCUCUCUGGAAUACCUGAUUCUGAUUAGUCAGUUGAGACAUUAAAAUU